rnacentral:rRNA from 1 species
AUUGAACGCUGGCGGCAUGCCUUACACAUGCAAGUCGAACGGCAGCACGGGAGCAAUCCUGGUGGCGAGUGGCGAACGGGUGAGUAAUAUAUCGGAACGUGCCCAGUCGUGGGGGAUAACGCAGCGAAAGCUGUGCUAAUACCGCAUACGAUCUACGGAGGAAAGCGGGGGAUCGCAAGACCUCGCGCGAUUGGAGCGGCCGAUAUCAGAUUAGCUGGUUGGUGAGGUAAAGGCUCACCAAGGCGACGAUCUGUAGCUGGUCUGAGAGGAUGACCAGCCACACUGGAACUGAGACACGGUCCAGACUCCUACGGGAGGCAGCAGUGGGGAAUUUUGGACAAUGGGCGAAAGCCUGAUCCAGCAAUGCCGCGUGCAGGAUGAAGGCCUUCGGGUUGUAAACUGCUUUUGUACGGAACGAAACGGUGAGCUCUAAUACAGUUUGCUAAUGACGGUACCGUAAGAAUAAGCACCGGCUAACUACGUGCCAGCCGCCGCAGUAA